rnacentral:rRNA from 1 species
UACAGAGGGUGCGAGCGUUAAUCGGAAUUACUGGGCGUAAAGCGUGCGUAGACGGCUAUCUAAGUCGGGUGUGAAAGCCCCGGGCUCAACCUGGGAAUGGCAUUUGGGACUGCAUAGCUAGGGUGCGGAAGAGGGAAGCGGAAUUUCCGGUGUAGCGGUGAAAUGCGUAGAGAUGUGGAGGAACACCGAUGGCGAAGGCAGCCUUCUGGGCCAACACUGACGCUCAUGCACGAAAGCGUGGGGAGCAAACAGG